GGCGAACGCUGGCGGCGUGCUUAACACAUGCAAGUCGAACGGAAAGGCCCUGCUCUUGUGGGGUGCUCGAGUGGCGAACGGGUGAGUAACACGUGAGUAACCUGCCCUUGACUUUGGGAUAACUUCAGGAAACUGGGGCUAAUACCGGAUAGGAGCUCCUGCUGCAUGGUGGGGGUUGGAAAGUUUCGGCGGUUGGGGAUGGACUCGCGGCUUAUCAGCUUGUUGGUGGGGUAGUGGCUUACCAAGGCUUUGACGGGUAGCCGGCCUGAGAGGGUGACCGGCCACAUUGGGACUGAGAUACGGCCCAGACUCCUACGGGAGGCAGCAGUGGGGAAUAUUGCACAAUGGGCGGAAGCCUGAUGCAGCAACGCCGCGUGCGGGAUGACGGCCUUCGGGUUGUAAACCGCUUUCGCCUGUGACGAAGCGUGAGUGACGGUAAUGGGUAAAGAAGCACCGGCUAACUACGUG
rnacentral:rRNA from 1 species